AACGAACGCUGGCGGCAGGCCUAACACAUGCAAGUCGAGCGGACCUUUCGGGGUCAGCGGCGGACGGGUGAGUAACGCGUGGGAAUAUGCCCUUCUCUACGGAAUAGUCCUGGGAAACUGGGGGUAAUACCGUAUACGCCCUUUGGGGGAAAGAUUUAUCGGGGAAGGAUUAGCCCGCGUUGGAUUAGGUAGUUGGUGGGGUAAUGGCCUACCAAGCCGACGAUCCAUAGCUGGUUUGAGAGGAUGAUCAGCCACACUGGGACUGAGACACGGCCCAGACCCCUCGGGGAGGCAGCAGGGGGGAAUCUUAAACAAUGGGGGCAACCCUGACCUAGCCAGGCCGGGGAAGGGAUGAAGGCCUUAGGGUUGUAAAGCUCUUUCAGCUGGGAAGAUAAUGACGGUACCAGCAAAAGAAGCCCCGGCUAACUCCGU
rnacentral:rRNA from 1 species